GAUUCUGGCUCAGAUUGAACGCUGGCGGCGUGACCUAACACAUGCAAGUCGAACGAGAAACGUCCGUCGGGGGCGAGUACAGUGGCGCACGGGUGAGUAACGCGUGGAUAAUCUACCCAAAGGUCUGGAAUAACAGUUGGAAACGACUGAUAAUACCGGAUGUACUGGCAACGGGAAAGGUGGCCUCUGCUUGCAAGCUACUGCCUUUGGAUGAGUCCGCGUCUCAUUAGCUAGACGGUAGGGUAACGGCCUACCGUGGCAACGAUGAGUAGCAGGCCUGAGAGGGUGGCCUGCCACACUGGGACUGGAACACGGCCCAGACUCCUACGGGAGGCAGCAGUGGGGAAUAUUGCGCAAUGGGGGAAACCCUGACGCAGCGACGCCGCGUGGGAAGGAUGAAGGCUUUCGGGUCGUAAACUCCUGUCAAGGAGGGAAGAAACCUGUGAAGAGUAAUAUGCUUCGCAAUUGACGGUACCUCUAGAGGAAGCACCGGCUAAUUCCGUGCCAGCCGCCGC
rnacentral:rRNA from 1 species